UGGGGAAUAUUGCGCAAUGGGGGGAACCCUGACGCAGCCAUGCCGCGUGAAUGAAGAAGGCCUUAGGGUUGUAAAGUUCUUUCGGUAUUGAGGAAGGUUGAUGUGUUAAUAGCACAUCAAAUUGACGUUAAAUACAGAAGAAGCACCGGCUAACUCCGUGCCAGCAGCCGCGGUAAUACGGAGGGUGCGAGCGUUAAUCGGAAUAACUGGGCGUAAAGGGCACGCAGGCGGUUAUUUAAGUGAGGUGUGAAAGCCCUGGGCUUAACCUGGGAAUUGCAUUUCAGACUGGGUAACUAGAGUACUUUAGGGAGGGGUAGAAUUCCACGUGUAGCGGUGAAAUGCGUAGAGAUGUGGAGGAAUACCGAAGGCGAAGGCAGCCCCUUGGGAAUGUACUGACGCUCAUGUGCGAAAGCGUGGGGAGCAAACAGGAUUAGAUACCCUGGUAGUCCACGCUGUAAACGCUGUCGAUUUGGGGGUUGGGGUUUAACUCUGGCGCCCGUAGCUAACGUGAUAAAUCGACCGCCUGGGGAGUACGGCCGCAAGGUUA
rnacentral:rRNA from 1 species